GCCCCAGUGGCACAAUCGGUCAGCGCGUCGUACUGAUACUGCGAAGGUUGUGUGAGUUCGAUCCUCACCUUGGGCA